rnacentral:lncRNA from 1 species
GGACAAGCCAUAGUGGAAAGAAUGAAUCUCUCCCUGAAACAGCAGUUGCAGAAGCAAAAGGGGGAAAACAGGACUGAACCAUCAAGACACCUGAAACCUUAUCAUGAGCGAAUGCUGAGGAAGAGAUUCCGGGAGGAUCCCGAGGACCCCCCCAGUUGCAGCCAUGUCAAGACUGAUGCUGAGGAGGACCCCAACUGUCACGAGCAACACCCGUCAAACACAGCCACCCACCUGAGGUCAGAUCAAGAAGCUGUCACAGAUGGCAGAAGAAAACCUGAGGUAAGUGGGACAGCCAGUCAAAAUGAGUAAUUUAAUGGUAGCUAUGAUAGUGGUGAUCACCAUUGCCAUGAGUAUUCCUUCAACAAGGGCUGACACAGAGAACAAUUAUACUUAUUGGGCAUAUUUAUCAAUCUUGGCUGGCAAGAAUGCCUGGAUGUUAUCACUCUAUGACACAGUUACACAUGCUUUCUGAUCUCAGUAUUUACCAUGAUAAAUCUGCUCCUAUAAUUGAGGCAUACCGCCCUCAAAAACCUAUCUGUAAACAGGAUUGGACCCAGUCAGAGAAAAUGAACGUACAUGUUUGGGAAGAUUGCAUUGCAGAACAGGCAGGGGUGCUGGCAACAAUUCCUAUGGAAUCAUUAUUGAUUGAUCCCCUACGGGGAUGUUUAGCUUGAAUUGCAUCUCUCAGUCUGUGUGCCACGGCCCCACUAUGUUCAAUUGGUCUGAACAAAAUGGUCAGAUGGUAGAAAUGAUAAGAAAUAUGGCAAGAGUUCCUAUUAUCUGGAACCAUGGCGGUGUAGUGGCACCUCAACCUCAAAUGAUAUGGCCCUUUGUAGGAGCUAAACAUAAGGAUUUGUGGAAACUGUUAAUAGCUCUUAAUAAGAUCAAAAUUUGGGAAAGAAUAAAAAA